GUGCGAGCGUUGUUCGGAAUCACUGGGCUUAAAGGGCGCGUAGGCGGCUUGCCAAGUCAGUGGUGAAAUCCUGCAGCUUAACUGCAGAAGUGCCUUUGAUACUGGCGAGCUCGAGGGAGGUAGGGGUAUGUGGAACUUCUGGUGGAGCGGUGAAAUGCGUUGAUAUCAGAAGGAACGCCGGUGGCGAAAGCGACGUACUGGACCUCUUCUGACGCUGAGGCGCGAAAGCGAGGGGAGCAAACGGG
rnacentral:rRNA from 1 species